rnacentral:rRNA from 1 species
GGCUUAACACAUGCAAGUCGAGCGGUAACAGGGGUAGCUUGCUACCCGCUGACGAGCGGCGGACGGGUGAGUAAUGCUUAGGAAUCUGCCCAGUAGUGGGGGAUAGCCCGGGGAAACCCGGAUUAAUACCGCAUACGUCCUACGGGAGAAAGCAGGGGAUCUUCGGACCUUGCGCUAUUGGAUGAGCCUAAGUCGGAUUAGCUAGUUGGUGGGGUAAAGGCCUACCAAGGCGACGAUCCGUAGCUGGUCUGAGAGGAUGAUCAGCCACAUCGGGACUGAGACACGGCCCGAACUCCUACGGGAGGCAGCAGUGGGGAAUAUUGGACAAUGGGGGCAACCCUGAUCCAGCCAUGCCGCGUGUGUGAAGAAGGCUUUCGGGUUGUAAAGCACUUUCAGUAGGGAGGAAAACCUUAUGGCUAAUACCCAUGAGGCUUGACGUUCCU